rnacentral:misc_RNA from 1 species
GCGGCGGCGGCGGCGGCGGCGGCGGCGGCGGCGGCCUUCCGGUGCCUCCUCUUGCGGCCGAAGCGGGAGACGGAUCCGGCGCGCAGCACGUCCUCGGCGCUCGUCCGCCGGAUGGCCACCGUGCCCCGGGGACAGUGCCCGCCGUGGUGCCACGUCUGCCACGCGCCCCGCCUGCUGUCCUUGCCUGCGCCGCUGCCGCUGCCGCUCCCGCUCCCGUUCGUCGCAGAGCCAGACGGGAAGGAGAGCGCGCCGCCGCCCCUCGGCGCCUCGGGCGGCUCCGUCUGGACGGCGUGCGCCCUGAGGAGCGGGUGGUCCAGGCCGUGCUGCUCGUGCGCCGCCACGCAGUCGAUGGUGUCGCCGUCCUGGCUCUGAAACAAACGAUAGCCGACGACCCCCCACCGUCCAUCAGCCAUGCAUGUAUGUAUGUAUGCGUGGUCGUCAACCGGGAGACAGACAGAAAAACG